UGGCUCCCCUACGUUAAAAAGCUAUACCUCUUAGAAGUCCUAGAGCAAGCAAGCAGGGACACUGUGGAUGAGAGAUCCGCUUCUAGCAACACUGCAGACAAAACGCAAAUCCCCAUUCAGAAUCUACAGAGAUGGGGAAUUCCUGCAGCACUCACUGAGAUCAAGGAGAGGACAGAAGAGUGGCAAGAAGUCUCAUCCAGCUUGCUUGCAGUUGGCCUCUUCUAGAAGCAGAGAGAAAAACACGGCACAGAAUGUUCAGCCUCUACUGCAGGCUGGCAAGAUAACGCUGUGGCAGCAACAGGGGAGUAUCAGGCCCUGAUCUAAGCAGAUGAAGAGGGGCUGGAGGAGGGUAAUGACUAGAACCAAGG